rnacentral:tRNA from 1 species
UAUAGCUCAUUGGUGAGAGUGCAUGCCUAGCAUGCACGAGGUCCUGGGUUCAGUCCCCAGUA